CGGGUUUAAGAAUUUUUGGAAGCUGUCGUGUUCGAGGACAGGGACAGCGCAAGGAGGACGUUUGUGGAGCUCACGCAAAACCAUCCAUGGGUAAUAAAUCUAUCUAUCUAUCUAUCGAUCUAUAUCCAGGUCUAUGCAGCAAGCAAAUCAUGCGAGAUCGAGCACGCAUUCAUUCAUCCAAUCGAAGUUUUAAGUUUAAAGCGAGCUUCUUUCCGUGAGUCAAUUCCUCUCACUCUCUCACUCUUCUUCGUGGGGAUUACUUUCACUCGCAGCAUAGAUUUGGAGAGCCACAGGACACAAGCGAAGAGCAAGAAAACCAAGGAAAGUAUUAUAACGUACCGGUACUCAGUCG
rnacentral:lncRNA from 1 species